AUGAUGGAGAACCCAGAAAAAUAUCAUGAGGAGGUUUAUGAAUGGGACCCAGACAGUGAGAACCUGGACGAAGCAGCAAAGGAAGAAGUAGAUAGAAGCACAAAGAAGGAACCAGACUUCUUAGACACAGGCAGUAAUUCACCUCCCACAGCCAAGAGAGAUUCUUCUGAAGGGCUAACCACACAGCAGGGAACCACAGGAAAAAAAUCAUAUCUAGAUUCAAUUUUUGGCGAGUUGCCACCAAAGUCACUGAUCAAGACCAACCUUCUCUUUGCAAAACCUCCACGUCCGAAGACAUCAUAUAAGCCAUCAAGCAGACUUUGUCCCCUUUCCAUUAACAAACAGAUCGUCGUGACCGAUGAAAAAGGAGACCAGGGUGCGAAAGCGGGAGUCCUGAAAACUCGCAACGAGAGGGAGGGAGUCUGCACAAAAACAUCCAGUGCGUUGGUCAGACACUCCUAA
rnacentral:lncRNA from 1 species